rnacentral:rRNA from 1 species
UACGUAGGUGGCGAGCGUUGUCCGGAAUUACUGGGUGUAAAGCGCGUGUAGGCGGGAGGCCAAGUCUGCGGUGAAAUCGCUCGGCUCAACUGGGCGGGGUCCGUGGGAAACUGGUCACCUGGAGGACGGUAGAGGCGAGUGGAAUUCCCGGUGUAGUGGUGAAAUGCGUAGAGAUCGGGAGGAACACCAGUGGCGAAGGCGGCCUUCUGGACAGUGACUGACGCUGAGACGCGAAAGCGUGGGGAGCAACAGGG